UGAAAAAUUAAAUCAAAAUAAUUCUUAAAUCCGGUCUUCCUUAACUGCAUCAACUAGAUUCCCUAGGUUGUGGAUACACCACAAGGUGGAGUUAUUUGUGCAGGCUCUUUGGAAACAGUGAAGGGAGAAAAAUUACCAAAAAUUUUUUUUAAGUUGAUGCGAACGACCAUUGUUGGUGGAGCCUGUGGUGGAGCUCAAUGUGAAAAAGAGAAAACGGGUAUUUGCAGUGGCAUUAAAAAAGAGGGUGCACUUUUGAAGACUAUAUGAAUAGAUGUCAACUAGUGUCUGGAGGCGGGAUUUGGUAUGUUCCAGCCCAUAAUCCUAACAUUAAAAUUAAGAAUAAAAAUGCAAUAGGAAACUUUGAGUUGGGACCAAGUAUUUUACAGUAAUACUUGGUGCAAAGUCUUACGGCAAGCAAAGCUAGUGUGUGCAAGUGAAGUUGAGAUAAGCUUCUCUAAGCUUGAGUGUGUGAGAGUGCUAUAGAGAGAGCACUAGUUUGGGAGGUUAAACAUCAUUGUGUGUGUUGGGUUAAAUGGUUUGUUAGUAUGUGAGGUUGAUUAAUAGUUAUAUAAUUCUUCCAAUUAAUAGGACCUAACAAGUUCUGAUGACCCAAUUUUAUCGUAUUCUUCAUAUAGUACUAAUUUAUGAUUACUCAUGAUCUUCAACUAGUUUUUGUUUUUAUAUGGGGAAUCAGUUUGAAAAGUCAACUGUCCCCAAUAUUAUUUUGGGGUUGGAUUAGGGUUUUGAAGUUGCAACUCGAGUAAAUAGGUUGCUUCAAUGCUUAUUGAAAAGGUGUUACUCUUCGUGCUAAGCAUGUUGCCAUACAGCUAUUUUCUGCUUAUUUCACUAGUACAAAAUGAACUUUUUCUCCUCUUACUUCACAGAACAGAAAACCUAUUUAAUGCAUUGCCACUAGUGACAGUUGCCUUCAAGUUCAAUUCUGCUUGAUUUUGAUCGUGUGAAUCUUGUUAAUACAUUCUCAGUUCAUUGUUUGGACUUUGGGUGAUUUCUGUGCUACACAGCACUCCAUUCUAAUGCAAAAUCUGCAACCCAAUGUUCCCAGACAGCUAGAGAUGGGUUUCUAAUGGGAAUGGGGAGGGCUAUCUUCUGUUUUAUAUCUCAAGUCCGUUAAGCAAAGAACAAUGCCACAAGGAACAAAGCUGUUCUUUUUUUAAUUGGUGUGGUUUAGUAUUUUUCCAUAACUUGCAUGGUUUAAGUUAUACAUUAGAGGGAGGAAUUUUUCAUUUGCCUUGUCAAAGAUUUUCGUGUGAACUGAUUGAUGUUAACAGAUCACAGGACAACUGUCGAGGUAGACGGUGAUCCAGGGAAAUCAGUUUCAUUGGUGAAAACACUUGACCUUGUGGAAUGACACUACAAAAACCACCUGCCCUUGAACAUUAGUAGCUCAGAAGGUGGUCAUAGAUGCGCAUGACUGGUGGUGAUGCACAGAUUCUGCUAACCGGUGUGAUCUACGACCUACCAAGUUAUUACUUUUUUUCUUUCUCCACCAACUCAUAGUCCCUUCUAAAUUUAAACACUAGUUGUUCUAAUAUAAUGAUUAACUGUAGCUAUAUAUGUUGCCCUUUACGUGCUAUGUCUUUGAUUAGUUACUGUUCCAGAUCUGACUGUUCACGGCGACGAGGAAGGAAAAGAGAUUGCUUAUACGAAAUCAGACUCUAAUGGGUAGCUUAUUUAUGUGACAGAAUGUUGUUCUCAAUGUAGUUCAAGUAGGCUUGAAGUAGUAAUAUCUUUCAGCUUCAGUAAAGUCUAUCAUGUCUCUUAGGUUAUAGUUUCACGGAAAUUGCACGAAUUUGUCUUUACUUUUUUAAUUUUGUAAUUCGUUCUCUGAAAAGGAAGUAAAUUAUGGGAUACCAUUUUUACAGCAGUCGCUGAUGUUUCUUUUAUUCAUAAUUCUUCUUUGUUGUGGAUUAACUUGGUAGAGUUUUGACAAGGAGAUGAUGAAGUUGCCUAUGUCUAAAUAGGUAGUGGAUGGGCCAUCAAUGCGCAUAAUUUUAAUUCUUUUUUUAUUAAUCCAUGGCGCUUAAAAUAGAUAUGUAUAUAUAUAUAUAUUUUAUUCAUA
rnacentral:misc_RNA from 1 species